rnacentral:misc_RNA from 1 species
AACGCACAUUGCGCCCGCCAGUAUUCUGGCGGGCAUGCCUGUUCGAGCGUCAUUUCAACCCUCAAGCCCUACCUUGUGAACGGCUUGGUGUUGGGGAUCGGCAGCUUUGCCGUCCCCUAAAAGUAUUGGCGGCCCUCCGAGGCGACCUCUGCGUAGUAACUUACCUCGCACUGGGAAGCUUGGAGAGGCCACGCCGUAAAACCCCCGACUUUUAUAAGGUUGACCUCGAAUCAGGUAGGACUACCCGCUGAACUUAA